AUUGAACGCUGGCGGCAUGCCUUACACAUGCAAGUCGAACGGUAACAGGUCUUCGGAUGCUGACGAGUGGCGAACGGGUGAGUAAUACAUCGGAACGUGCCCGAUUGUGGGGGAUAACGAGGCGAAAGCUUUGCUAAUACCGCAUACGAUCUACGGAUGAAAGCGGGGGAUCUUCGGACCUCGCGCGGACGGAGCGGCCGAUGGCAGAUUAGGUAGUUGGUGGGAUAAAAGCUUACCAAGCCGACGAUCUGUAGCUGGUCUGAGAGGAUGAUCAGCCACACUGGGACUGAGACACGGCCCAGACUCCUACGGGAGGCAGCAGUGGGGAAUUUUGGACAAAGGGCGAAAGCCUGAUCCAGCCAUGCCGCGUGCAGGAUGAAGGCCUUCGGGUUGUAAACUGCUUUUGUACGGAACGAAAAGCCUCUUUCUAAUAAAGAGGGGUCAUGACGGUACCGUAAGAAUAAGCACCGGCUAACUACGUG
rnacentral:rRNA from 1 species